CAGCAGCCGCGGGAAAACGGAGGGUGCAAGCGUUAAUCGGAAUUACUGGGCGUAAAGCGUGCGUAGGCGGUUCGUUAAGUCUGUUGUGAAAGCCCCGGGCUCAACCUGGGAAUGGCAAUGGAUACUGGCGAGCUAGAGUGUGUCAGAGGAUGGUGGAAUUCCCGGUGUAGCGGUGAAAUGCGUAGAGAUCGGGAGGAACAUCAGUGGCGAAGGCGGCCAUCUGGGACAACACUGACGCUGAGGCACGAAAGCGUGGGGAGCAAACAGGAUUAGAGACCCGUGUAGUCCCUGUCUCUUAUAC
rnacentral:rRNA from 1 species